CUAGUUGACGAUGAUGAGGUGGUCUCCUAUAUCCUAAACGGCCUCGAUUUUGAUUACAAUCCAAUUGUUUCAACUAUUCUUGGUCGUGCGGAGCCAAUCUCGUUGAGUGAUCUCUAUUCUCAACUUCUGUCCUAUGAUC